rnacentral:lncRNA from 1 species
ACUACUCAUUUCUGUGUGAAAAUAGUGGUAGUGCAUGACAUGUUCAGAGCAUAUUCUAAUUCAGAGUACAACGGAAGGUGAUAUUACAAUGAUGUCAAAACAGAGAUGAUGGCACGAUAUCACUAGUAGGGAAAAGCCUCGUAGCGCAGGUUGUAAUCCUCGUCCCUAUGUCCUGAGGGGGCGCAAAACAAACAUGAGUGGACCAAGAUGAUAUAUAUAAUAUGGAAACAAUUAUUCAAUAACAUACUAACCCCCAAAGUUUUAUGGAAAAUCAAUAGUAUAAUAUGUAAUUGGUUCUUCCAAAAACCCUAGCAUGCCAUAAAACCUUUCAUAAAACAUAUAUCGUAUAUAGUGUGCUAACUAGUGGUAUCAGUAUCGUCCGAAGGCAUACAGAACUCUUCAUUUAGAACACUUCCUUCAGAACACUUCAUUUACCAAACAGGCACCAACUUACGCCCGGCCAAAGCCAAUAUAAGUAUCAUUUGCCAAACAGGCACCAACCUACGCCCGGCCGAAGCCAAUAUAAGUAUCAUCGCCCGUAGGCAGAACAGUGACCACUAGAUACGCAAAAAAAGAUUGAAUAUAGUCUUUCCAAACAUAGGUACAUAUAUUUCAAAACAUCUUCAUAGCAUAUAGUCAUCCAUCAUAUAUACAACAAAGAAGUGUGUAAAAGCAUGUUUGUAAACAGUAUAUAGGCAUCCAUCUUAUAUACUACCAAGAACAUCAGUUUGAUAAAAUAUGAUAUUUCAAAAUAUUCACAGUAAGCAUAAUAUCUCAUAAAACGUAAUCAUUAAAUCAUGCUUUUUAUGUAUGCAUUUCUACAAUUAAAACAUGCAUUUUAGAAGGGGUCCACUAACAGAUACUCUGUUGUUGAAGAGCAGUACGAAAUAGGUGGGACGGAAACACCGUUAAUAAUUACACCUCAGCACAUAAAGGGUACAAUUAACAAAACUAAACUCAAACAACUGAAUUUGGGAAAACGGACGUCAAAAAACGGGUCAAGGACGUCGAAAUUAGCUUAGGAGGGGUCCUGGACAAAACCCUAAAAAAAUCAACAAAAGUCAACGUUGACCGUUGACUGUUGACCGAUCAAAGUCAAACUUAACGGGCCAAAGUCAAAGUCAACGGGUCAGGUAUGGGCUAGUCAACAAUUUUUGGGCUUGAGGCUAUUGGGCCGGAGGCCUAAGUGGAUUGGCCCAAGGGCCUAGGGUCCAAGGUGUAAGGGUCAAAGGGCUUGGGCUUGAAAGCCUGGCCCAAGUGCCUUUGGGUUUUUAAAAUAAAUAAAUACAAAUAAAAAGGGUUGUUGGGUUUAGGCUUUAAGGGGUUAACAGGCCUAAGGCCCAGGUCCUAUACGACCCAAAUGCCUAAUCUAAUAAGGGUUUGGAUUUGGGCUGCCUUAAGGAUGAGCUUUUGGUUUAGGCCCAAAGGCCUGGUUUUGUUCCUCGCCGAGGAAGGAGGCCGGAGCCUUAUGUGCUUUGGUCAACGGCAAAAUAACCCAUUAACCUCCGAUAUAACUACAAAAAGGAAGGUACGACAAAGAGUAAGAUAAUUUAUACCUUGAAAAAGUCGAAUGGUGGCCAGGUUUUUGCUCGAACACCACGGGAUUCGCUAGGGUUCCACAGAGAUGAAGAGAGGGAGGGAGAGAGAGAGAAAGUGCUUCCACGGUGGUGUGUGUGGUGGAGUUGUCUUUGGUGGACCUUCUUGGGUGUAGGGGUGUCUGGUGUGCAAGUUCGAUUGGGGAGAGAGUGUGAAGGAGAAAAAGUACUGAGCUAAGAGAGAUAGAGAGAGAGCUAAAAGUGUU